UGGGAUAUGUGUGGCCAGGCAACAUCAGAGUGUGGUCAAGAUGGCAAAAGCUAUUCAUGAAGGAAAAGGCCAAAGCUAAAAAAGGCUGCAGCAGUUUGCUCUUGCCAGAGCAUCCUGGGAAGAAUAAGACUCUGCCUUUCCUUUUCCCCUGCUGAAUUAACUGAAUGCAAACUACAUUUGCCCUUUGAACUCGUUUUGCAACAAUCCAGUAAGCUGAGGACAAAGGGGGAAGAGGAAAGAGAAACUGGGACAUUUUAAAAGCAGCUGAAAAAGUGGGAUGACUGAGGAUUAAUUGGAAGUGUCCCUGCCAAACUGGGACAUUUGGAAAGUGUGACAUAUACCCCAUGAGCAGGAACAAAAGGAGAUUUUGGUCUUGAGCAUGCAUAUGUGGCGUUUCAUUCCACAGAAAUCAAUAACAUUUACUCUCAGAAUCUGACCCGUUCAGUAACAGAUUUUUUCCCCACACAAUGAACUGCCUGGCCUCCUUGGAUGGCAAAUACAUCGUAUCAGUCAGAGAGGCAUGCAUCUCAUUUAGAAUCUCC